GGGAACAAAUAUGCCUCUUAAAUCUUAUGUCAGACAGUGUAUCCUUGCCAGAGGUAAAACUUAAUUUGCAGUCUUAUCCACAUACUCAUUGAACUCGAUGUGAGUGUGGAUUUUGUGUAGCUAAGCACAGGACUGCAGGAUGUGUUUCAGGGGCUGUGUGUCUAGGCAUUCAGGCUAUGCUAUCAGAUCCUUCAAGGGUCCCAAUUUAAUCAGGACUUCUUGAAUUGGCAGAAGCUGCUCCAGCUUCUGAGCCCAAUCCAGGAUGCCCUGAUUUUCCCAGAGGCCACUCUAAGCUGCGCUGCAUCUCAAAAUGCGUCACGGGCUGGAGCGAUCUGGGAAAGGAAGAGGUCAGCAGCAGGUAAGGGGCAAGCGACGGAGAUGGGGGGUGGACGGUGCCCCAAUUUUUUUCACGAAAUGUUGGAGGGUGUGCACUAACAGCAACCAAGAAAUAAGUCAAUGGAUCCAAUAUACAUUCCUUUGGGGUCCUUUUUCCAAUGCGCACAUUCAUAUUUGUGAGAUGGAUGAUGGAGAAGAAAAUGACUGGGGAGCUGUGCAUUAGGCAAUUCUGACAUGGAUAUAAGAAAUGGUGAACUUCAGGAAGCAUAGGACGCAGAAUGGAAUGAAGAAGAGAAACAGUCAAGAAAGAGAACAGAAGACCACACAGCCUUGGCAAAGUGCACCCUGUUCUCCCCGUCAGCACAAGAUGACUAAUUGCCUUCCCCAGUGGCACUUGGACUUAGUCUAGAAGGAGGUUGCAUCACCCAACAGAGCUGAAGAAGGGCUAUAUAAAGAAAGCAGAGAGCACCAUCCUGAGCACAGCAGAGACCAAAGGCAACUCUUCCUUGCCUGUAUUCUUUUUUGCCAACUCAAGGAGGAUACUCCAAUUCUGACGCACCAUGAAGUCGUGUCUCAUCCUGCUAGCUGCAAUGCUGUUGGUUUCAACGCUUAGCGGUUCUGAUGGUGAAGACAAACCGGGCCACGUAGUAAGUAAUGUUAAAUGUUUGUAGGUGUUUGUAUGUGGAAUGGUUUGAGGGUGUGAAUUGGCUCCUUGCUAUAUAUGGCAAAGGUGUGUUCUGUUGCUUGUUCUAAAACGAAACAAAUAGGGUGUGAGUAGAAGAUGAGAGCCUGGGUUGUUUCCUACUCAGAGCAGACCCAUUGAAAUGAAUGGGCACAACUAACAGGCCCAGGGGGGAAACACCCCCAAUUGAGCAUGAGUUGAACUUUGUACAAAGUUCCGAAGCAAAAAGGGGGACGGGGGGGGGAGAAAAUGCAUUGUGUCUGAUGUUGGUCCUACACAUAAGAACAUAUGAAGAACCAAUGACCCAUCUAGUCUAGCAUCCUGUUCUUCCCAAAAAGUAAGAGCCAAGCACAAGAGCAGUCUCCUCUCCUGCAGUUUCCAUCAAUUGGGUUAGGGCUGCCAUAUUCCCCAAAGUGAAAGUUGCCAUAUGGGUUUUCCCAGACAUUUUGCCAAUUUGACGGAAACCCACCCGGAUGUCAUUUUGACAGUCCGAUUCCCAGGAAAACAUGGACAUAUGGCAGUCCUAACUUGGAUGCAUUUCUGUCUCUGACUGUGGAAGCAGAGCAGAGUCAUCCUGACUAGUACCCAUCAGAGUAGACCCACUGCGGUUAAUGAGCAUGUUUAACAUGCUCGUUCUUCCAUGUGACAUCCUGUCAAGAGGUCCAUUCCACACAAUGUCAGAAUCAGGCCAGCACCCUCCCAUUGGCAGGCGCCAAUGUCGUUUCUGUGCCUACUACAGAUGUUCCACUUUCGACAAACCUUCUAAAAACUUUAUGCCUCUUGGAUUUUUCAUUGCUUUCAUGGGUGUGCUAUUGCUCUUUUAAAACUGCUGUUAUAUUUCGUAAUUUUGUCUGUGUGUUUCGUAGUUGUUUGUGUGUUUUUUAAAUGAUUUUAUAUAUGAUUCAUUUUUCAAAAACAGUUUUAGUAUAUGUAUCUGUUAUAUACAGUAUAUGGUCUUAUACUUCAAGCCACUUUGGGAUGCCUCACGGGAACUGAGUCGUUAAUAAUAAUAGUAGCAACAACGAAGAAACAACAACCCACCUUUUCCCAGAUUUCUCCUCCUGUGUUAAUCUUCCCAAUCCAAUGCUAAAGAGGGUUGAGGGGAUGACACAUCAAUAUGGGAAGGGUCCAAGAAGCAGCUGCUCCAAAUGCUAAGUCUUACCUGCCUCUUUUUUCCUACAGGUCAGGGAUAACUUGAAAAACGUUGAUGCAGAAGAUCCCAAUUUAUUCAAGAAAAAUAUAAAACCACUACGUUUCGUGCCAAAAGAGCGAAGAGCGUUGCCAGUGAAGUAAAGAAGUCCUCAUGUCUGGAUGCGUGUGGACAUUCCUCCUUGGCCUCUCGACCUCUCAACCCAAAUCACAGACUCCCAAAUUGGAGGUGGACCAGAGAUCAACUUCCCCUUCACUGGAUUGCCCACUGUCUAAACCACGGUUGUGGCACUCUAUACCUCUCUCCUUCUCUCUUGGGAUUCUUAUGGGCCUUGCUCUUCCCCCGCAGUUUGAUUGCUUUUGCCUGACUAAAUGUUUUCCUUGAAUUGUGAUCAUGCCUCUUGCUCACCCAGUGGGUGGUUGUGGAAACUGUCAGAAAUGUAGCAGCAGAGAUCAUUCAGUGUGUUAUUUAAGGGUUAAUUCUGUUAUGAGUAAAGUCAGCUAACCAAAAAGGUGGUGGUGGAGGUAUUGUAUUCCUUAGGCCAGCCUAUCUAGACAAAUAGAUACUGAUGUGUUUGAUUCUCUUUUAAUGUUAAUCUUAAUUGUUUUAAAAUGUUUUAAAUUCUUUUAAACUGCUUUUUAAUGAUUAUAUAAAUUUGUAACCCCCUUAAAGGUUUUACUACAAUCAAGAGGGAUAUACAUUUUGUUAAACUAAAAAUGGAAACAAACCAGAUAUGAUCUCCAUGGAGGUAGCACAUGGUCUGCUUGGCUGCAUAGUUCUAAGGGAGGUUUUCCACUGUAUGUUUGGUUGCGUGUCUCGCUGCCCUGUGCAAGUCCUGUCUUAAAUUAUAUGCUGCUUUUGUUCUGUUUGCUCAAUAAAUUAGGAAAUGUU